rnacentral:rRNA from 1 species
CACUCCUACGGGAGGCAGCAGUGGGGAAUUUUGGACAAUGGGCGAAAGCCUGAUCCAGCAAUGCCGCGUGAGUGAAGAAGGCCUUCGGGUUGUAAAGCUCUUUUGUCAGGGAAGAAACGGUGAAAGCUAAUAUCUUUUGCUAAUGACGGUACCUGAAGAAUAAGCACCGGCUAACUACGUGCCAGCAGCCGCGGUAAUACGUAGGGUGCAAGCGUUAAUCGGAAUUACUGGGCGUAAAGCGUGCGCAGGCGGUUUUGUAAGUCUGAUGUGAAAUCCCCGGGCUCAACCUGGGAAUUGCAUUGGAGACUGCAAGGCUAGAAUCUGGCAGAGGGGGGUAGAAUUCCACGUGUAGCAGUGAAAUGCGUAGAUAUGUGGAGGAACACCGAUGGCGAAGGCAGCCCCCUGGGUCAAGAUUGACGCUCAUGCACGAAAGCGUGGGGAGCAAACAGGAUUAGAUACCCCUGUAGUCCC